UUACGGGAAACCGGAGCUAAUACCGGAUAAUUAUUUCGAACCGCAUGGUUCGAUAGUUAAAGAUGGUUUUGCUAUCACUUAUAGAUGGACCCGCGCCGUAUUAGCUAGUUGGUAAGGUAACGGCUUACCAAGGCGACGAUACGUAGCCGACCUGAGAGGGUGAUCGGCCACACUGGAACUGAGACACGGUCCAGACUCCUACGGGAGGCAGCAGGA
rnacentral:rRNA from 1 species